GACGAACGCUGGCGGCGUGCUUAACACAUGCAAGUCGAACGGAAAGGCCCUGCUUUUGUGGGGUGCUCGAGUGGCGAACGGGUGAGUAACACGUGAGUAACCUGCCCUUGACUUUGGGAUAACUUCAGGAAACUGGGGCUAAUACCGGAUAGUAGCUCCUGCUGCAUGGUGGGGGUUGGAAAGUUUCGGCGGUUGGGGCUGGACUCGCGGCUUAUCAGCUUGUUGGUGGGGUAGCGGCUUACCAAGGCGUGGACGGGUAGCCGGCCUGAGAGGGUGACCGGCCACAUUGGGACUGAGAUACGGCCCAGACUCCUACGGGAGGCAGCAGUGGGGAAUAUUGCACAAUGGGCGGAAGCCUGAUGCAGCAACGCCGCGUGCGGGAUGACGGCCUUCGGGUUGUAAACCGCUUUCGCCUGUGACGAAGCGUGAGUGACGGUAAUGGGUAAAGAAGCACCGGCUAACUACGUG
rnacentral:rRNA from 1 species